UACGUAGGGUGCGAGCGUUGUCCAGAAUUAUUGGGCGUAAAGAGCUUGUAGGCGGUUUGUCGCGUCUGCUGUGAAAAUCCGGGGCUCAACCCCGGACUUGCAGUGGGUACGGGCAGACUAGAGUGUGGUAGGGGAGACUGGAAUUCCUGGUGUAGCGGUGGAAUGCGCAGAUAUCAGGAGGAACACCGAUGGCGAAGGCAGGUCUCUGGGCCACUACUGACGCUGAGAAGCGAAAGCAUGGGGAGCGAACAGG
rnacentral:rRNA from 1 species